CACGGCAGGGACCUUCGGGAGCCUGCUGGCAAGGGUCCCCACGCAGCCAUGCCGGGGCCGUCACUCCUUCCAGGACUCUGCUUUCUGCUGAGCGUGUCGGCAGUCGUGGCUCAGAUCUCAGGCUCCUCGCAUUACUGCCCCCCGAAUUCUGAGUAUUUCAACAUGACUCACUGUAGGUGCAAAACCGGAUACAAGUCUGCAUCUGGGCAGGAAUACCUCAAGCCCUCCUCCGGGACA